AUCGCUUCCUGGCCCCAGGCUAAGAUCAUUUGUAGUAUCUGUUCUAAUCAGCUUGAUAUCUGAUUCGCUUCCACCGGAAGCUUUUCGAUAUUAAACUGUUUUUUGGAAACUGGCGAAGAGUUGGAGCUUGCUUCUCCUUUGCCUCGGGUUGACUCGGACUUGCACUUUUUCCGAGAACGGCCCAUACCCU